rnacentral:rRNA from 1 species
CCUACGGGCGGCAGCAGUAGGGAAUCUUCGGCAAUGGACGGAAGUCUGACCGAGCAACGCCGCGUGAGUGAAGAAGGUUUUCGGAUCGUAAAGCUCUGUUGUAAGAGAAGAACGAGUGUGAGAGUGGAAAGUUCACACUGUGACGGUAUCUUACCAGAAAGGGACGGCUAACUACGUGCCAGCAGCCGCGGUAAUACGUAGGUCCCGAGCGUUGUCCAGAUUUAUUGGGCGUAAAGCGAGCGCAGGCGGUUAGAUAAGUCUGAAGUUAAAGGCUGUGGCUUAACCAUAGUACGCUUUGGAAACUGUUUAACUUGAGUGCAAGAGGGGAGAGUGGAAUUCCAUGUGUAGCGGUGAAAUGCGUAGAUAUAUGGAGGAACACCGGUGGCGAAAGCGGCUCUCUGGCUUGUAACUGACGCUGAGGCUCGAAAGCGUGGGGAGCAAACAGGAUUAGAUACCCGGGUAGUC